rnacentral:lncRNA from 1 species
UUAGCAAGUAGCAAUUAUAAUUUUACAAUUCAAGAGUUAUACAAAAGGAGGAAACGUCCCCCUUUUGGAGGUCGGAGUUCAAGAGGCAGCUCUUUAGUUAUUCUACUCUACUCUCUUCGGCUCUACUCUGAUAUACUUCUUUGGCUCUAUAAAUCUGGCUCUCUAGCUAUUCAACUCUCUAAUGGCCCAGCCUUCCUCAUCCGGCUCUCCAACUCUCCACUCUACUUCUUCUUUCUUUUCGAUUCUACUUAAUUUUUUUUUGCUGGUUACAGAUUAGUUUUUAUUUUUUUUUUGCAUUUACUAAGUUUAGAUGGUAACUUAUGAUGAUGAGAGUAUUGCCACCAUACAUGUUGGUAUUUUUUUUAUUUCUGAGG